rnacentral:rRNA from 1 species
AACGACUCUCGGCAACGGAUAUCUCGGCUCUCGCAUCGAUGAAGAACGUAGCGAAAUGCGAUACUUGGUGUGAAUUGCAGAAUCCCGUGAACCAUCGAGUCUUUGAACGCAAGUUGCGCCCGAAGCCAUCAGGUUGAGGGCACGGC